rnacentral:rRNA from 1 species
GCUACAUGGAUACCUGUGGUAAUUCUAGAGCUAAUACAUGCUGAAAACCUCGACUUCGGAAGGGGUGUAUUUAUUAGAUAAAAAACCAACGCCCUUCGGGGCUCCUUGGUGAUUCAUAAUAACUAAACGAAUCGCAUGGCCUUGCGCCGGCGAUGGUUCAUUCAAAUUUCUGCCCUAUCAACUUUCGAUGGUAGGAUAGUGGCCUACCAUGGUGGCAACGGGUAACGGGGAAUUAGGGUUCGAUUCCGGAGAGGGAGCCUGAGAAACGGCUACCACAUCCAAGGAAGGCAGCAGGCGCGCAAAUUACCCAAUCCCGAUACGGGGAGGUAGUGACAAUAAAUACUGAUACGGGGCUCUUUUGGGUCUCGUAAUUGGAAUGAGAACAAUUUAAAUCCCUUAACGAGGAACAAUUGGAGGGCAAGUCUGGUGCCAGCAGCCGCGGUAAUUCCAGCUCCAAUAGCGUAUAUUAAAGUUGUUGCAGUUAAAAAGCUCGUAGUUGAACCUUGGGUCUGGCUGGCCGGUCCGCCUCACCGCGAGUACUGGUCCGGCUGGACCUUUCCUUCUGGGGAACCUCAUGGCCUUCACUGGCUGUGGGGGGAACCAGGACUUUUACUGUGAAAAAAUUAGAGUGUUCAAAGCAGGCCUUUGCUCGAAUACAUUAGCAUGGAAUAAUAGAAUAGACGUGCGGUUCUAUUUUGUUGGUUUCUAGGACCGCCGU